GAAAAAAAAGAGCCUUGAUGGCAACUGUCAAAAUCCUACUCAAGUAUGGCAUGCGUGAGAUCUGGGUCGUCCAUACGCUAGGCCUUGCAUAUAUGUUCUGCGGUCCCAAAGUAGGUAGGUCCAUUCUCAGGCAAUGCACAUAUACAGAAAUUGAUGGUCUAAAAUAUUGAGCUAUGGUUCAUAUUUGGUCUACACAUUGCCCACAUGAUGUUUGGGCCCCGGAACAUUCAGUUGGAUUUGCUGAUGAACGGCCUUGAUCAUGCACACAUGCCACAUCUGCACCUAUCAUGAUAGAAAGGUCCUGGCAACUAGAGUGCGCUCAGCUGCUGCUUACGAUCUGAAGCUGGAAACAAAUGUCGUAUUCUACAUGCUGCACUCCAUCUCUACUAAAAUCUAAAGACAAAAGGCUCGGAGUUGAGCAUCCCCUGUCCAUGGCUGCGCCCAUCAGAUCAACGGCCAGGAUCGCUGUACCAUGGGCCUCUGCAAACUACACACUACUCAUGGAAGUAGUCCCAGAAUUUCAGAUUGGUGGACACUCAUUGGACGAUUAAAAAUGAAAAAUAUAGAUCAAGAUUAAAGGAUCAACUGCUGGAUAGAUACCUCUAACAGCUAAUCCUCUUGUGAGUACGGCAGCAACCUCUAAAUGUGCAGAUGUCAUGGCAGGAGCAGGUUGAUCAAACCGUCUGCAGGUACAUAGACUUCCAUUCAUGAAAGGAAGUUAUAGAUCCCUCUUUGGUAGAAGUAAUUCUUUCUUGCAAAGACUCGUUUCUUUACCAAUGGGUAAGUUGAUAACCCAACACAACAGAAGGCAUUGUAAGCGCCUGCGCAUGAAGUGUCAUAUGCAGCCAGAGUAUCAAAUAACUCCCUGUUGAUUAGAUUCACAAUUGCAAUUUAUUAGGGUAAUAAUAGCAUCCAAAUGCAAUUGAAAUCUUA